rnacentral:rRNA from 1 species
GACGAACGCUGGCGGCGUGCCUAAUACAUGCAAGUCGAGCGGACCGAAGGGAGCUUGCUCCUUUAGGUUAGCGGCGGACGGGUGAGUAACACGUGGGCAACCUGCCCUGCAGACUGGGAUAACUUCGGGAAACCGGAGCUAAUACCGGAUAACACCGAAAACCGCAUGGUUUUCGGUUGAAAGGCGGCUUUUAGCUGUCACUGCAGGAUGGGCCCGCGGCGCAUUAGCUAGUUGGUGAGGUAACGGCUCACCAAGGCGACGAUGCGUAGCCGACCUGAGAGGGUGACCGGCCACACUGGGACUGAGACACGGCCCAGACUCCUACGGGAGGCAGCAGUAGGGAAUCUUCCGCAAUGGACGAAAGUCUGACGGAGCAACGCCGCGUGAGCGAAGAAGGUCUUCGGAUCGUAAAGCUCUGUUGUCAGGGAAGAACAAGUACCGUUCGAACAGGGCGGUACCUUGACGGUACCUGACGAGGAAGCCACGGCUAACUACGUGCCAGCAGCCGCGGUAAUACGUAGGUGGCAAGCGUUGUCCGGAAUUAUUGGGCGUAAAGCGCGCGCAGGCGGUUCCUUAAGUCUGAUGUGAAAUCUCGCGGCUCAACCGCGAGCGGCCAUUGGAAACUGGGGAACUUGAGUGCAGGAGAGGGGAGCGGAAUUCCACGU